UACGGAGGGAGCUAGCGUUGUUCGGAAAUACUGGGCGUAAAGCGCACGUAGGCGGCGCAGCAAGUCAGGGGUGAAAUCCCGGGGCUCAACCCCGGAACUGCCCUUGAAACUGCAGUGCUAGAAUUCUGGAGAGGCGAGUGGAAUUCCGAGUGUAGAGGUGAAAUUCGUAGAUAUUCGGAAGAACACCAGUGGCGAAGGCGACUCGCUGGACAGACAUUGACGCUGAGGCGCGAAAGCCAGGGGAGCAAACGGG
rnacentral:rRNA from 1 species